rnacentral:rRNA from 1 species
UACGUAGGUGACAAGCGUUGUCCGGAUUUACUGGGCGUAAAGAGCGCGCAGGCGGUCGAUCAAGUCGAGUGUGAAAGCCCCCGGCUCAACUGGGGAGGGUCAUUCGAUACUGAUCGACUCGAAGGCAGGAGAGGGUAGUGGAAUUCCCGGUGUAGUGGUGAAAUGCGUAGAUAUCGGGAGGAACACCAGUGGCGAAGGCGACUACCUGGUCUGUUCUUGACGCUGAGCCGCGAAAGCCAGGGGAGCGAACGGG